rnacentral:rRNA from 1 species
AGAGUUUGAUCCUGGCUCAGAAUCAACGCUGGCGGCGUGCCUAACACAUGCAAGUCGAACGAGAAAGUGGAGCAAUCCAUGAGUAAAGUGGCGCACGGGUGAGUAACACGUGACUAACCUACCCUUGAGUGGGGAAUAACUUCGGGAAACCGAGGCUAAUACCGCAUAACACCUACGGGUCAAAGAAGCAAUUCGCUUAAGGAGGGGGUCGCGGCAGAUUAGUUAGUUGGCGGGGUAAUGGCCCACCAAGACGGUGAUCUGUAUCCGGCCUGAGAGGGCGCACGGACACACUGGAACUGAAACACGGUCCAGACUCCUACGGGAGGCAGCAGUGGGGAAUUUUGCGCAAUGGGGGAAACCCUGACGCAGCAACGCCGCGUGGAGGAUGAAGUCCCUUGGGACGUAAACUCCUUCGAUCGG